rnacentral:lncRNA from 1 species
CGCGCCCAGGCGGCGCGCGCGGAAUCAGUUGAGUCUCUUCGGUUCCCGGCUCUUUCUCCUGCGCUUUUGAAGACCAGACUGCAAAUAUAUUACCAGGGAUGGUUUUGUGUUGUCCUACAGACUUCUUAAAUUUGACAAAAAUUCAGCUGAACUUGUAACCAACAGCUUUGUCUGAACUUGAAGUCAAAAUGUGUUGUUAAUAAGAGAUUCUAGCUAUUGCUUUUACCUUCAGUGUGAACCAGUGUGGUAAUAAUUUUGAAAAAGCAGGCUGGACACAGUGGCUCAUGCCUGUAAUCCCAGAAUUUUGGGAGGCCGAGACGGGCACAUCAUUUGAGGUCAGGAGUUCAAGACCAGCCUGGCCAACAUGGUGAAACCCCAUCUCUAUUAUAUAAGAAAUUAGCAGGGCAUGGUGGCACAUGCCUGUGAUCCCAGCUACUGAGGAGGCUGAGGCAGGAGAAUCACUUGAACCCAGAAGGCGGAAGUUGCAGUGAGCCGAGACAGUGCCACCGUACUCUAGCCUGGGCGACAGAGCAAGACUCCAUCUCAAAAAAAAAAAAAAAAAAAAACUUGAAAAGGCAAACAUGAUUGAAUAUCUGAAAAGCUUUAAAAGUGCCCUUUCUGUUACAUAUGUGGCACAAAUGGCUCAUGAGAGCAGGACAUUUAUGGUCUUGUGUCCUAUACUUCAUGUCUGAUGCCAUCAGAAAUGUUAUGGAUUCUGGAUUUAACACACUUAGAGUGAUAUGAUCCCUCAGGACUGCACCACAGAGUAAACACAACCUUUAUAUGGUGGCGAAUAUGUGUGUCUUUCUUGUUUCAUUUGUGGUUGGGGACAAAAUCGAUGUUUUUGUCUAAAUAGUCAAUAUUCAUCUUAACAUGUUUGGCUGUGUAAUCACCGGCUAUAUUGUGAACUGUGCAAUAAAAC